CCUACGGGGGGCAGCAGUGAGGAAUAUUGGUCAAUGGGCGAGAGCCUGAACCAGCCAAGUCGCGUGAAGGAUGACGGCCCUACGGGUUGUAAACUUCUUUUGUCAGGGAGCAAUUGAGUCCACGUGUGGUCUUAGCGAGAGUACCUGAAGAAAAAGCAUCGGCUAACUCCGUGCCAGCAGCCGCGGUAAUACGGAGGAUGCGAGCGUUAUCCGGAUUUAUUGGGUUUUAAGGGUGCGUAGGCGGCCUGUUAAGUCAGCGGUGAAAUCUAGGAGCUUAACUCCUAAAUUGCCAUUGAUACUGGCGG
rnacentral:rRNA from 1 species